CGCUUCCCGGAGUGACGCGCGGGCCGGGGUUCCCGGGUCGGGUGGCUGGAAUCGAAACCCCAGUCAGCUCGGUUUUUCCUUGAGGGCUUUGACGUUCGGUGCACACCACGUAUUUUAACUUUCAUCUCUGCUGCCUCCUGAUCCAUGUUAAUGUAAUUGCUAAUCCUAGACCUGAACUCUUUCUUUCUGGUGGCCAUGCGAACGAUGAUGGCAAGAUCUGAGAAUGUUGAGAAAUAUUUUAAAGGAAAUGUUGAUGCAUCCAGAAAGGAGAAGGAAUAACCAGCCUAGCUGGGGCUCAAUGGUUUGAAGACCAGACCUUCCUCGUUGGGUAUUUAUUCUUCGACAUUUGGACCGCUUCCCUAAAAGUCUCCUCUCUAGGAUCUGCAUUGCCUGUUUAGAGCUAUGCUAUUUUUUUAUGAAUGCUGCUUGAUUGAGAAUGAUGCAAACCACUGAGAUACCAUGGCAGAGGAAAACAGUUCCUUUAGGAGAGAUCAUCACAGCUCACUUAUAUUCACAUCAUAGACUGGGGUAAAAUUAUCCUUUAAAAUCUUAGUGUGAAUGAAGAAUCUGCAGACAAACGCAUUUCACAGAUUCCUAGUGGUUGUUAGGUUGGACUUUCAACACAAGAGUAUUUACCGAGUCAAAGGCCAUGGAUUCUCGUGUUAGACAAGAACAUCGAAAUUAAGAAAUGAUCCUGAGAAAUUCGGUAAAUUCUACACGGACUCAGGUUUUGAGUCUAAAGGUAAGUCCCACGUGGCUAAAGGUCAUAUUCCAAGUUGCUUCCCUGUCUCCACGCUCAGGAAGUUCUAGCGCCGUCGGUCAGAGGCCCUGAGCUCAGGCCCUGGCCAACACCUAUAAUCCAUCAUCCCAGGGCCCCGCGGCCUCCUUCUCGGAGUUCCCCGGGAAGCCCUGGAAAGGGGGUAUCCCAGUGAUCGUUAGGGAACAGAACACGAGGUCCAGCUCGUCUGUCGUUCAUUCAUUGGGCAGUAAACACAGGUAACGACACGCAGCGCGGGCGACGAACCCUGCUGUAAACCCGGUACGCGCCGUCGCUGGGGCGCGGGGUCCCCAGUGACUCAGAGCCCGACCGGCCUUCCGGGCUCGGCGCGUCCCGGGGGGCGGGGGCCGGAAGGGCGCGGCCGGGGGCGGAGCCGGUGCGGCCUGGGAGGGCGUGUCCCCGAGGAGGCGGAGACAAGAUGGGCGCUCGGAACGCUUGGAGGACCUAAGAGGCGGCGGCCGGGGCCACGCCCCGGGCGGGAGGGCCGCUCUGUGCGCGCCCGCUCUAUGAUGCUUGCGCGCGUACCCCGCGCGCCGCGCUGCGGGCGGGGCGGGUCUCCGGGAUUCCAAGGGCUCGGUUACGGAAGAAGCGCAGCGCCGGCUGGGGAGGGGGCUGGAUGCGCGCGCACCCGGGGGGAGGCCGCUGCUGCCCGGAGCAGGAGGAGGGGGAGAGCGCAGCGGGCGGCAGCGGCGCUGGCGGCGACUCCGCCAUAGAGCAGGGGGGCCAGGGCAGCGCGCUCGCCCCGUCCCCGGUGAGCGGCGUGCGCAGGGAAGGCGCUCGGGGCGGCGGCCGUGGCCGGGGGCGGUGGAAGCAGGCGGGCCGGGGCGGCGGCGUCUGUGGCCGUGGCCGGGGCCGGGGCCGUGGCCGGGGACGGGGCCGGGGCCGGGGCCGGGGCCGCGGCCGUCCCCCGAGUGGCGGCAGCGGCCUUGGCGGCGACGGCGGCGGCGGCGGCUGCGGCGGCGGCGAUGGGGCAUCAGCAUGGGUGGGGGCAGCGCCUACCGGCGGGAGCCGGUCCCUUUCCCGUCGGGGAGCGCGGGGCCGGGGCCCAGGGGACCCCGGGCCACGGAGAGCGGGAAGAGGAUGGACUGCCCGGCCCUCCCCCCCGGAUGGAAGAAGGAGGAAGUGAUCCGAAAAUCUGGGCUCAGUGCCGGCAAGAGCGAUGUCUACUACUUCAGUCCAAGUGGUAAGAAGUUCAGAAGCAAACCUCAGUUGGCAAGGUAUCUUGGAAAUACUGUGGACCUCAGCAGUUUUGAUUUCAGAACUGGAAAGAUGAUGCCUAGUAAAUUACAGAAGAACAAACAGAGACUACGGAACGAUCCUCUCAAUCAGAAUAAGGGUAAACCAGAUUUGAAUACAACGUUGCCAAUUCGACAAACAGCAUCAAUUUUCAAACAACCAGUAACCAAAGUCACAAAUCAUCCUAGUAAUAAGGUGAAAUCAGACCCACAGCGAAUGAAUGAACAGCCACGUCAGCUUUUCUGGGAGAAGAGGCUACAAGGACUUAGUGCAUCAGAUGUAACAGAACAAAUUAUAAAAACCAUGGAACUACCUAAAGGUCUUCAAGGAGUUGGUCCAGGUAGUAAUGAUGAGACCCUUUUAUCUGCUGUUGCCAGUGCUUUGCACACAAGCUCUGCGCCAAUCACAGGGCAAGUCUCUGCUGCUGUGGAAAAGAACCCCGCUGUCUGGCUCAACACAUCUCAACCCCUCUGCAAAGCUUUCAUUGUCACAGACGAAGACAUUAGGAAACAGGAAGAGCGAGUGCAACAAGUACGCAAGAAGCUGGAAGAAGCACUGAUGGCAGACAUCUUGUCCCGGGCUGCGGACACAGAAGAGAUGGAUAUUGAAAUGGACAGUGCAGAUGAAGCCUAAGAAAAUGAUCAGGGCAUUCACAUCCCUGAAGUCACCCAUGAGGGAUCUGCCUCCUUGGUUAAAGCCAGGUGGAAAAUCUCCAAGGCAUCAUUGGAGAAAAGCAGAGAAAGAUGAGAAGGGCUCUGCCCAGGUAGGAAUCAUGGCUGCGGAAUGUGGCAGCAGCGCUCAUCUCUGCAGUACUGGCCUCCUAGAGUACUUUGUCCUUUCUUUAAAAUCGUGCUGCAAAGUAGGCGAAAUCUCCCUCUUUCUAAGUUCUCUCUAGCAGACUUGAUGUAUGCAGAAUAAGGACAUAAUCAACCCUAAAAAAAAGGAAAUUUGGUUUUCUACUGAGCACACAUAAGAGGUUCCUGGGCUCUGUUCCAGUGGACAUACGUCCUCUGUAGGUGAUGACACACAAUUGGAUGUGUGUUCUGUAGAUGAUGGCACAAAAACCUCAGAGGCCACACUUUGCUUCCCAGCUCCCAUCCUGUUUUGUUUGGGCAGCCCUUGUCUUGCUUUCUGCCACCCCAGCUGUGCUGAUUUAUUUGUUUCCUUGAAGCCAAAGGUGGUGGUGGUGGUGGGGUGCUGGGGAAGCUCACAUGAUGUGAAGGGUCCACAGCCCUGUCUGAAUAAGUGCCUUUAUACUGACCCUGAAGGAUGGGUAGGAGUGAGCCAGGGGGAGGUGGGGUAGAAAGUCCUGAAAGAACAGAAAGCAGAAGCCUCGUUUCUUUAUGGAACAGCAAUGAAAAGUCAAUGUGGUUGGAAUGCAGUAACUCUGGGGAGGGUUGGGGAAUGUGUGAAAGACAUUCCUAGUCACGGUGCCUGUGGGUUAUAAAAGACAUUGAGUGUGAUCAUUAAACCCUGUGGGAAUCCACUAAAGGGUCAGUAGCAUGAACAGGUUUGCUUAUUUACGGGAUCUCUGUGGCUGCUGCAUGGAGUAGGGAAGCCUGGACUCCAAAUCCACUUGGGGGGUUUUGUGGUUCCAACAAGAAAUGGUGGUGGCUUCAUGAGGGUGCUGGCAGCGUGUGAGGGAAGAGAAGAGGGAAAGGGCAGAUCCGUGUUUGGAAAUAAAAUCGACUUGGCCAGGUGAGUGGGUGCAAGAGUGGCCAAGAUGACUUGGGCUUGUCAGGCAAGUGAGUAGAAGGAUUCCCAUUCAGUAGAGAAGGGUGUGCAGUGUGGCAGGGGAGUUCAAUACUGGAAACACAGUCUUACCUUCCUACGACUGCCUCUUUCUUUCUUUUUUCUUUUUUCUUUCUUUCUUUUUUUUUUUUGGACAGGCAGAGUGGAUAGUGAAAGAGAGACAGAGAGAAAGGUCUUCCUUUUGCCAUUGGUUCACCCUCCAAUGGCCGCUGCGGCCGGUGCACCGCGCUGAUCCGAUGGAGGAGCCAUGUACUUAUCCUGGUAUCCCAUGGGGUGCAGGGCCCAAGCACUUGGGCCAUCCUCCACUGUACUCCCUGGCCACAGCAGAGAGCUGGCGUGGAAGAGGGGCAACCGGGACAGAAUCCGGCGCCCCGACCGGGACUAGAACCAAGUGUACCGGCGCUGCAAGGCAGAGGAUUAGCCUAGUGAGCUGCGGCGCCAGCCUGCUUUUUUCUUAAUUCAGGGUCAGUUCGUGCCACCUGUUACCAAAAUCAAUAUAAUGUCUUAGAUCAGCAACACUUUGGGUCACACAGUUUUCUGACUGUUCAGAACCAUUUGAAUCCAGUUCAGUUCUUUUUUAAAUCUUU